CCUACGGGAGACAGCAGUGAGGAAUAUUGGUCAAUGGACGAGAGUCUGAACCAGCCAAGUAGCGUGAAGGAUGACUGCCCUAUGGGUUGUAAACUUCUUUUAUAAAGGAAUAAAACGAGGCACGUGUGCCUUUUUGCAUGUACUUUAUGAAUAAGGAUCGGCUAACUCCGUGCCAGCAGCCGCGGUAAUACGGAGGAUCCGAGCGUUAUCCGGAUUUCUUGGGUUUAAAGGGAGCGUAGAUGGGUUGUUAAGUCAGUUGUGAAAGUUUGCGGCUCAACCGUAAAAUUGCAAUUGAUACUGGCAGUCUUGAGUACAGUUGAGGUAGGCGGAAUUCGUGGUGUAGCGGUGAAAUGCUUAGAUAUCAUGAAGAACCCCGAUUGCGAAGGCAGCUUACUAAACUGUGACUGACAUUGAUGCUCGAAAGUGUGGGUAUCAAACAGGAUUAGAUACCCCAGUAGUC
rnacentral:rRNA from 1 species